rnacentral:rRNA from 1 species
GCCUAUCAGCUUGUUGGUGGGGUAAUGGCCUACCAAGGCGACGACGGGUAGCCGGCCUGAGAGGGCGACCGGCCACACUGGGACUGAGACACGGCCCAGACUCCUACGGGAGGCAGCAGUGGGGAAUAUUGCACAAUGGGCGAAAGCCUGAUGCAGCGACGCCGCGUGAGGGAUGACGGCCUUCGGGUUGUAAACCUCUUUCAGCAGGGAAGAAGCGAAAGUGACGGUACCUGCAGAAGAAGCGCCGGCUAACUACGUGCCAGCAGCCGCGGCCG